AUGUAUAAUCGGCGGGUUGGGCACUGCCAGCAGUCAGGAUCAAAUGACCAAUCUUAUUGGUGGAAUGCUGACCCGGAAACGAGGAGCAUGUUCAGCGUGAGAAGAGUCUCUCAAAUCUGACGAAAAUCUUUUAAACUGACCUUUGUCGAUCUGAA